GAUGAAGAACGCAGCGAAAUGCGAUAAGUAAUGCGAAUUGCAGAAUCCGUGAGUCAUCGAAUCUUUGAACGCACAUUGCGCCCUUUGGUAUUCCGAAGGGCAUGCCUGUUCGAGCGUCAUUAUCACCCCUCAAGCCCCGGCUUGGUGUUGGGCUCUCGGUGGUCGUCUCCGACCACCCGUCUCAAAGAUAGUGACGGCGUCCCAGAGGGAACCGGUACGAGGAGCUUUCACGAGCAUGUACGCGGGACGACUCUGAGGGCGACGGUCUUAUUUACUUUAUAUACAAGUGUUGACCUCGGAUCAGGUAGGAAUACCCGCUGAACUUAAGCAUAUCAAUAAGCGGAGGA
rnacentral:misc_RNA from 1 species